rnacentral:rRNA from 1 species
UACGUAGGGGGCGAGCGUUGUCCGGAUUUAUUGGGCGUAAAGAGCGUGUAGGCGGCCAGGUAGGUCUGCUGUGAAAACUCGGGGCUCAACUCCGAGCUUGCAGUCGAUACGGGCAGGCUAGAGUUCGGCAGGGGAGACUGGAAUUCCUGGUGUAGCGGUGAAAUGCGCAGAUAUCAGGAGGAACACCGGUGGCGAAGGCGGGUCUCUGGGCCGAUACUGACACUGAGGAGCGAAAGCGUGGGGAGCGAACAGG